rnacentral:tRNA from 1 species
AGGGUUAUAGGUUAAGCUUUUAUAAACCUUUGGCCUUCAAAGCCGAGAAUGAGGAAUCUAACCUUG